AUUGAACGCUGGCGGCAUGCUUUACACAUGCAAGUCGAACGGUAACAGGCCGCAAGGUGCUGACGAGUGGCGAACGGGUGAGUAAUGCAUCGGAACGUGCCCAGUCGUGGGGGAUAACGCAGCGAAAGCUGCGCUAAUACCGCAUACGAUCUAUGGAUGAAAGCGGGGGACCGUAAGGCCUCGCGCGAUUGGAGCGGCCGAUGUCAGAUUAGGUAGUUGGUGGGGUAAAGGCUCACCAAGCCAACGAUCUGUAGCUGGUCUGAGAGGACGACCAGCCACACUGGGACUGAGACACGGCCCAGACUCCUACGGGAGGCAGCGGUGGGGAAUUUUGGACAAUGGGCGCAAGCCUGAUCCAGCAAUGCCGCGUGCAGGAAGAAGGCCUUCGGGUUGUAAACUGCUUUUGUACGGAACGAAACGGUCCUGGUUAAUACCUGGGGCUAAUGACGGUACCGUAAGAAUAAGCACCGGCUAACUACGUGCCAGCAGCCGCCGUAA
rnacentral:rRNA from 1 species